rnacentral:rRNA from 1 species
UACGUAGGUGACAAGCGUUGUCCGGAUUUACUGGGCGUAAAGAGCGCGCAGGCGGUCGUUCAAGUCGAGUGUGAAAGCCCCCGGCUCAACUGGGGAGGGUCAUUCGAUACUGAUCGACUCGAAGGCAGGAGAGGGAAGUGGAGUUCCCGGUGUAGUGGUGAAAUGCGUAGAUAUCGGGAGGAACACCAGUGGCGAAGGCGGCUCUCUGGAACGCAACUGACGCUGAGACGCGAAAGCGUGGGGAGCAAACAGG